GAUGAACGCUGGCGGCGUGCCUAACACAUGCAAGUCGAACGGAGAUUACGGACGGAAGUUUUCGGAUGGAAGACUGUAAUUCUUAGUGGCGGACAGGUGAGUAACGCGUGGGCAACCUGCCCUAUACAGGGGGAUAGCAGCUGGAAACGGCUGGUAAGACCGCAUAAGUCGGCGAGACCGCAUGGUUUUGCCGGGAAAUGAGCAAUCAGGUAUAGGAUGGGCCCGCGUCCGAUUAGCCAGUUGGCAGGGUAAAAGCCUACCAAAGCAACGAUCGGUAGCCGGACUGAGAGGUCGGACGGCCACAUUGGGACUGAGACACGGCCCAAACUCCUACGGGAGGCAGCAGUGGGGGAUAUUGCACAAUGGAGGAAACUCUGAUGCAGCGGCGCCGCGUGAGUGAAGAAGUAUUUCGGUAUGUAAAGCUCUAUCAGCAGGGAAGAUGAUGACGGUACCUGACUAAGAAGCCCCGGCUAACUACGUG
rnacentral:rRNA from 1 species